AAGGCCUUGACCACAUUCAUCAGGACUGAGCCCUUCUGGGAUAAGUGUACUGUGCCUUUGGCAUGGAAGAGCAGGUCACGGUGUCCCCAUUGGAUGAGGAGCUGGUGGCCAGACCCCUCUACGUCUAGUAACUCAUGGCUGUGAGACAAACAUCUUGAACAGAGAUUCUAUUGGUGUGGAACCAAUCCAUUUGAGAGUCAGACCAUUGACCUUGAUCCUGUUGGCACCAUGCCCAGCCUAAUUGUAUUUGAAGAUCAGAGGUCAGAUGGGCAUUGCGUAGAACUUCAGAGAAGAGAAACCCCAGCUGCCUACUCUUACAAGCCACAAGCAUGAAAACAGAUCCUUGUGUGUUUACAUUCUGUUUGGACACGGAAGCCGGCUCAGGAUAUCUCAGCUCUAAUCCUGGUUUUCCGGCUCACUUGCGGUGUCACCUUGGGAUGCGAGUUCUCUUUGGAGCUUGGUUGCCAUGGGGACUUUGAUUUGUCUGUUUCUAACAUCUUUGAGCUUCAGAUGUGAUUCUAGACCACCUCCUUGGCAGUCUCAACUGUCUGAAACAGCCACGAACUGGAAAGUAAGCAAAGAUUGGCACGUGUUGGUAUUGCAAAGUUUGGUGCUAGAGCAUGCCUACUUUAUCUUUAGCAGAGCGCCUAAGUCCUCACCUCGAACUCAUUUACUCUGCUUUACACUCAAGUUUAAGAAGCCUGUAUCUGACUUUCCAUGUCAGUAGGGUGGGGGUACACAUAGCACUUGAGAGGCUGCUACAGUUAGGCGUGCCGACAAGCAUAAAAGUUCAACGUCAUUCAAUUCAAUUCCAUGCAGCUGAGCUGAAGAUUCACGGACUUUCAUCAAUGUCAUCAAGGAAUGACACUGACAAGCCUGAUUCUGAAGAGAGAAGCAGAAAAACUAUAAAAGUGUAGCCUUGUGGGCCAUUUAGUGUAGAAAUAAAUAGCUCCUCUCGUGGCAAUGAGUUCUUCAGGAGUGGACAUUGGCCCUGGAGUCAGAAGACUGGGAUGGGAGUGUCGGUUCUUUUUCUUACUAAGUGUGUGAUUUUGCUUGAGUCACGGAAACAGAGGAGCUCCAGGUUUCUUCUCUAUAAAAUGGAAACAAUCGUACCUAGGAUAGCUUCCCUUUACUGAUACGUGCUGCUGUUAGCCUGUUUGAUUCUCUCAGCAACCUGAGAAUUACAUUUCAUUCUGUAUGUGAGGACACCAAGGCCUAAAGAGAUUAUUGUCUGCCCAACGUCAAAUAAGUAAGAAAACCCAUCUCUAUAUCUAUUUAUACAUGGAGGGAUUGAAACUGUAAAGGUUUUAUAAACAUGUAUUAAAAUACAGCAUGAUAAUUAAUAUUCAUUUUGCACGCUGAUAAUUCUAAUGACAGUAAAAAGUGGUUAAAUUGUAGGGGCACCUGGGUGGCUCAGUCGGUUAAGCAUCUGAC